ensembl:lncRNA
CCACACCUGGCAGACUACAGUGUUUGGGUGCGCCGCAUUCAUUUACCCUUGUAGAACGUUGCGUCGCAUAAGUUCCGCUUUUGGCGCUCGGGUGUAAAAUCAUAAUAAAGAAAAAAAAAAAUGAGUUGGUCAGCACGGGGUGGCCACAGGGGUGGCCAGGGACAUGUCUACGGGGGCACGGGCCACCCCAGGCCUCCGUGUAGAACCGCCACUGAUAAUCAGAUUAGAAAAGUUAAGUAGGAAUUAGUAGCCUAUCAACGCAACACGUCAAGUGUUCAGAUUCAGAAGGCUGCCGCUAUCAGCAGCAUCCAGCUGUGCGCGGCAACACCUGUUUUUUGGUGUGAGAAUCAAUCCCUGAUCUCAGCAUCGUCAUCUCAUGGGAUAGUUUCAUAUGAACUAAAGAAGAAUGGUGAUCUCUUCGUUCGUGUGGUAAUUUGUCUGUAUGAGGAGUGACAUGACGGGCCAUGAUGAGUAAAAUCCCCGUUCAUAAAUUACAUAGGCUUUUUAAAAAUCGAAUCGAAUCGAUCUCUUAGCCUCAUGGACGCAGCUGUAACAGCGAGUGAUACUUAACCAUCCUAACUUUACAGAAUCAUUGUAGAGCUACAGAACCUGUACCAAAUUGACAUAAUUGAUGUGUUUGUGAUUUAUAACUCGUUGUUGUGUGGCACUUUAUGAAAUAUAUCUAUUUGUGUACCAUAUGCCCAAAAGGUUUAACAUUAACCAAGCUGCGCUAUCUAUUGCUAGCUACCUAAGGAAAUUGAAAAUAUUCUAUAACACAGAGCUCUAUGAACAAAGAGUUUAGGAUACUCCCCCGCCUAUUAUAAAGUUCUGUGAUCUUUGAUGAACUGUGUUGGAAGACAUAACCGUAAGAACCAGAGACUAAUGCAGCUUUUAUGUAAGGGAUAAUGUAUAGUCCGGAGGUCAUUAUCGGGGGAAAAAUCCCGACGGGACGAACAGGACCCCGACGCGCAGCAGAUAAGUGUAUUUAUUAUACGGCUCCUCAGAAUGUUCCAAAAAGUUCCGUUGAUUUGAAUGGGCCAUCGCGAAUUAAUGACUGCUGUCAUUGGCAACGGGUUUUAUGAUUCUAAUUCACAUCUUCCAUAUCAUUCAAGUAAUCCGUUCACCUAAUUAAUUGUAACUUGAAGUCAGCAAGUACUGGAACGGAAACCCUUGACUUUAGUGAAACCGUGGCAACGGGUGAUAUGUCUAGUUGAGAGCUGUAUAUGUGACGUGACCUGAGGCUCAGUAGUACCACACGUCACAAUGCAGUUAUAUUGGUGUAUAACUUACCUCCUAGCCCCUUUCAUUCCAACUUGUGUAAUUGUCCGGAUAAGUAAAGUAGCCUAAUGUAGAUGUUAUACACCACUGUGCCAAAUGGAUGAGGUAACCGAUGAGGAGUCUGAUGAUGACUCUUACAAUUUGAGGAAACCUAAAGGAACGAAACUGACUGUUGCUGAGGGUGAUUCGGCAUGCUACAAUAGGGCACAUUUGGGAGAGACGCUAUACCAGGAGUCUCCCGGAUUUGAGCUAUCCGAUCCAAAUAUGCACCUGAUUGAUGGCACCUACAACUGCCUCCAUGAUGUCCAUUUAAGGACAUUUUUCAAAAAGCCAGAAAGAAAAAAAAAGCUUCUACAGAAUGGCUUAAUUACUACUGAUG